UCUGUUUCAAUCCCGAUGAAGGGCCUCCAACAUGAAACAUUGACUCAGUUUCACCAUUCACAGAUGCAUUCUGGCCUGCAGAAUAUUUUAGCAUUUACAGGUUUUCCCCCCUGCUUUUCCAGAAUCUGGAUGUUUUUUUAAAUUUAAAGUUCACUAUUUGUAGUGACAGUAUUUACA